AAUUGGACCUGAUAUCAGACAAGACUACCCGCUGAAC
rnacentral:rRNA from 1 species